rnacentral:rRNA from 2 species
UUAAGCGACUAAGCGUACACGGUGGAUGCCCUGGCAGUCAGAGGCGAUGAAGGGCGUGCUAAUCUGCGAUAAGCGCCGGUAAGGUGAUAUGAACCGUUAUAACCGGCGAUACCCGAAUGGGGAAACCCAGUGUGAUUCGUCACACUAUCAUUAACUGAAUCCAUAGGUUAAUGAGGCGAACCGGGGGAACUGAAACAUCUAAGUACCCCGAGGAAAAGAAAUCAACCGAGAUUCCCCCAGUAGCGGCGAGCGAACGGGGAGGAGCCCAGAGCCUGAAUCAGCAUGUGUGUUAGUGGAAGCGUCUGGAAAGGCGCGCGAUACAGGGUGACAGCCCCGUACACAAAAGCGCAUGUGCUGUGAGCUCGAUGAGUAGGGCGGGACACGUGGUAUCCUGUCUGAAUAUGGGGGGACCAUCCUCCAAGGCUAAAUACUCCUGACUGACCGAUAGUGAACCAGUACCGUGAGGGAAAGGCGAAAAGAACCCCGGCGAGGGGAGUGAAAAAGAACCUGAAACCGUGUACGUACAAGCAGUGGGAGCACCCUUCGGGGUGUGACUGCGUACCUUUUGUAUAAUGGGUCAGCGACUUAUAUUCUGUAGCAAGGUUAACCGUAUAGGGGAGCCGGAGGGAAACCGAGUCUUAAUUGGGCGUUAAGUUGCAGGGUAUAGACCCGAAACCCGGUGAUCUAGCCAUGGGCAGGUUGAAGGUUGGGUAACACUAACUGGAGGACCGAACCGACUAAUGUUGAAAAAUUAGCGGAUGACCUGUGGCUGGGGGUGAAAGGCCAAUCAAACCGGGAGAUAGCUGGUUCUCCCCGAAAGCUAUUUAGGUAGCGCCUCGUGAAUUCAUCUCCGGGGGUAGAGCACUGUUUCGGCUAGGGGGCCAUCCCGGCUUACCAACCCGAUGCAAACUGCGAAUACCGGAGAAUGUUAUCACGGGAGACACACGGCGGGUGCUAACGUCCGUCGUGAAGAGGGAAACAACCCAGACCGCCAGCUAAGGUCCCAAAGUCAUGGUUAAGUGGGAAACGAUGUGGGAAGGCCCAGACAGCCAGGAUGUUGGCUUAGAAGCAGCCAUCAUUUAAAGAAAGCGUAAUAGCUCACUGGUCGAGUCGGCCUGCGCGGAAGAUGUAACGGGGCUAAACCAUGCACCGAAGCUGCGGCAGCGAACGUAUCACCCAAGACAACUUUACGGAGUUGACGAUUGACGGAGCGAAGCGACGUCAAAGCGUUCAUUAAAGUCGAGUUGGCUUAGGGAUACGUUCGUUGGGUAGGGGAGCGUUCUGUAAGCCUGUGAAGGUGUGUCGUGAGGCAUGCUGGAGGUAUCAGAAGUGCGAAUGCUGACAUAAGUAACGAUAAAGCGGGUGAAAAGCCCGCUCGCCGGAAGACCAAGGGUUCCUGUCCAACGUUAAUCGGGGCAGGGUGAGUCGACCCCUAAGGCGAGGCCGAAAGGCGUAGUCGAUGGGAAACGGGUUAAUAUUCCCGUACUUGGUGUUACUGCGAAGGGGGGACGGAGAAGGCUAUGUUGGCCGGGCGACGGUUGUCCCGGUUUAAGCGUGUAGGUGUGUGUUCCAGGUAAAUCCGGUUCACUUUAACACUGAGGCGUGACGACGAGGCACUACGGUGCUGAAGCAACAAAUGCCCUGCUUCCAGGAAAAGCCUCUAAGCAUCAGGUAACACGAAAUCGUACCCCAAACCGACACAGGUGGUCAGGUAGAGAAUACCAAGGCGCUUGAGAGAACUCGGGUGAAGGAACUAGGCAAAAUGGUGCCGUAACUUCGGGAGAAGGCACGCUGACACGUAGGUGAAGUGAUUUACUCAUGGAGCUGAAGUCAGUCGAAGAUACCAGCUGGCUGCAACUGUUUAUUAAAAACACAGCACUGUGCAAACACGAAAGUGGACGUAUACGGUGUGACGCCUGCCCGGUGCCGGAAGGUUAAUUGAUGGGGUCAGCGCAAGCGAAGCUCCUGAUCGAAGCCCCGGUAAACGGCGGCCGUAACUAUAACGGUCCUAAGGUAGCGAAAUUCCUUGUCGGGUAAGUUCCGACCUGCACGAAUGGCGUAAUGAUGGCCAGGCUGUCUCCACCCGAGACUCAGUGAAAUUGAACUCGCUGUGAAGAUGCAGUGUACCCGCGGCAAGACGGAAAGACCCCGUGAACCUUUACUAUAGCUUGACACUGAACAUUGAGCCUUGAUGUGUAGGAUAGGUGGGAGGCUUUGAAGUGUGGACGCCAGUCUGCAUGGAGCCGACCUUGAAAUACCACCCUUUAAUGUUUGAUGUUCUAACGUGGACCCGUAAUCCGGGUUGCGGACAGUGUCUGGUGGGUAGUUUGACUGGGGCGGUCUCCUCCUAAAGAGUAACGGAGGAGCACGAAGGUUGGCUAAUCCUGGUCGGACAUCAGGAGGUUAGUGCAAUGGCAUAAGCCAGCUUGACUGCGAGCGUGACGGCGCGAGCAGGUGCGAAAGCAGGUCAUAGUGAUCCGGUGGUUCUGAAUGGAAGGGCCAUCGCUCAACGGAUAAAAGGUACUCCGGGGAUAACAGGCUGAUACCGCCCAAGAGUUCAUAUCGACGGCGGUGUUUGGCACCUCGAUGUCGGCUCAUCACAUCCUGGGGCUGAAGUAGGUCCCAAGGGUAUGGCUGUUCGCCAUUUAAAGUGGUACGCGAGCUGGGUUUAGAACGUCGUGAGACAGUUCGGUCCCUAUCUGCCGUGGGCGCUGGAGAACUGAGGGGGGCUGCUCCUAGUACGAGAGGACCGGAGUGGACGCAUCACUGGUGUUCGGGUUGUCAUGCCAAUGGCACUGCCCGGUAGCUAAAUGCGGAAGAGAUAAGUGCUGAAAGCAUCUAAGCACGAAACUUGCCCCGAGAUGAGUUCUCCCUGAGACUUAGAGUCUCCUGAAGGAACGUUGAAGACGACGACGUUGAUAGGCCGGGUGUGUAAGCGCAGCGAUGCGUUGAGCUAACCGGUACUAAUGAACCGUGAGGCUUAACCUU